rnacentral:snoRNA from 13 species
GGGGUGUGCUCAGAGCAGGGGCCCUGAAGAAUGGCUCCUCUGUUUACAACACACCCAACAGGAAUCCAGGGCCAUUGUGAAGAGGGCCACAACACUUGUGGCCUCCCUAUGAGCAAAUGCCCUACAUGU